rnacentral:rRNA from 1 species
UGCAUAUCAAAAAAGCGGAGGAAAAGAAACCAACCGGGAUUGCCUUAGUAACGGCGAGUGAAGCGGCAAAAGCUCAAAUUUGAAAUCUGGUACCUUUGGUGCUCGAGUUGUAAUUUGUAGAAGGCGACUCUGGGGCUGGUCCUUGUCUAUGUUCCUUGGAACAGGACGUCAUGGAGGGUGAGAAUCCCGUGUGGCGAGGAUCCCAGUUCUUUGUAGAGUGCCUUCGAAGAGUCGAGUUGUUUGGGAAUGCAGCUCUAAGUGGGUGGUAAAUUCCAUCUAAAGCUAAAUAUUGGCGAGAGACCGAUAGCGAACAAGUACAGUGAUGGAAAGAUGAAAAGAACUUUGAAAAGAGAGUGAAAAAGUACGUGAAAUUGUUGAAAGGGAAGGGCAUUUGAUCAGACAUGGUGUUUUGUGCCCCUCGCUCCUCGUGGGUGGGGGAAUCUCGCAGCUCACUGGGCCAGCAUCAGUUUUGGCGGCAGGAUAAAUCCCUGGGAAUGUAGCUCUGGCAUUUAUGUUGGAGAACUUAUAGCUCAGGGGAAUACUGCCAGCCGGGACUGAGGAAUGCGACUUUUAGUCAAGGAUGCUGGCAUAAUGGUUAUAUGCCGCCCGUCUUGAACCACGGACCA